rnacentral:misc_RNA from 1 species
AAGUCGUAACAAGGUCUCCGUAGGUGAACCUGCGGAGGGAUCAUAUUAAGGAGAGUUUUUUAGGGUUUGGGUAAUAUGACAAAGAUUGUUGUAUAACUCUUGACUCUUGACUUGGAAGUGCACGAAUAUAUAAAGAGUUUAAGAGAGUUGCCAUAUGUUAUAUGGCAAACCUUUUUUUAAAGUUAAACAGUUAUUAUCAAAAUUUAGUUUUUAGUAUAUAAUAAUAUAAAAAGAAACAACUUUUAACAACGGAUCUCUAGGCUCUU